UUAAAAUAAAAUUAAAAUAAAAAAAUUAAUUAAUUAAAUAAAAUUUAAAAUACUUUAUUUCUAAUUUCUCAUAUAAUGUCCAAUUUUGUCCCCAGAAAAUUUUAAAGCUAAAAGUAACCUCUUAUUUUAUAAGUAAUCAAUUAAAGGAAUAUUAGAAAAUGUAGAUAAAUAAGAGGAAAGACAAUCAGAAUUCCUUCAUCAUCAAGACAGGACCGUUGUCAACACCUUGGGUAUGUCCUUGCAGAAAGGAUCAUUUAGAUAUAUCCUUUUAUAACCUGAUUUUUCUUUUCCAUUUAUUAAUCUAUUUUGAACAUCCUUCUGGUUCAUCCAAAGCAACCGUAACAGAUGCUGCUGUGAGGUACUACCCAGAUUCUGCUUUAGGACCAAAGACCUAUUUACCCAGCUGUCUGCUACUGGCAGAUAGCCCUCAGCCAGAAGCAAUUCUUAGAACUGUUGGAUGAAGGUAUUCACCUUGCCCCAGGGCAUAGCCCUUUGCAUCAGCUGCUGGCCUCCAGCAACUGGAAGGUGCCAGGAGAUAAAGGCCAGGCUCCCUUACCUUGACUGUAAACAAUUCUGUCUGGAAGUCCAAUGUACUAUCCAUUGUGCAACACAGCCAGGCACUUGUCUGUAGACAAUUUUGAAGGGCUAUUCCAGCUUCAGAAUUUCCUGAGGGGUAGAUCAGGGCCUCCAAUUGGGACCACAUAGCAGCCCCACUUCUCCCUUCAAUUCUACCCAACCCAUCACUUCUCUUCCAGAGGCAUGAUCCCAGGAGUACUUUCUUAUCAACCUCCCCUAUGCUCAUCUCUGUCUCAGGGUUUUCUUUCAGGGAACCCAACAUACAACAGUUGCUAUUGGGAGCAGUCUGAGAAAGCAGACCCUAAGAAGUUUAGAGAUGGAUCACUCCCCUAGCUGGCGCUCUGAGAAAUCUGACUGAAGACAGUGCGAUUCCCAGGAUGAAGGAUUCCACAGUAUCAUGGCAAGUACACAUGGCCUGCUGCUGAAUACAUCUACACUGUGAAUGAACGUUGCUGCUUCCAGGGCUGUCCUGAGGAGAGGCCCCAGCCAUCCUACCUCUCAAGUCAAGGACUCUGAAAGAAGCCUGUUCCUGGCACAGUAGUCCUGGCAGAGUGAAGUGGCCACAGUCAAGAAAAGAUGCCAUCUUUAAGUAGAGAGAAGCCCUGACACAGCCUGGGUCCCUGCCUUGUUCCCUCCCCAUGCAUGGAAGAUAUCCCGAUCCCACGUGCCCCCACUGGGAAGAUGAAGGGCAGAGGGUAGCUGGAGGCAGGAUGUGAAGGACACUCUUCUCCAGCUACUUUUGCAGUUCUGGGACCACUCCUAUGCACAGUCCUUGAACACCUGUGUUUUCUCCAGGCCUCGCUCUCCUGGCCCUGCUCAUGUCUGACACAGAUCAACCUCAUAUAUGUGUUCUGAGAUGAGAGAAUAGACUGCUUUAUCAUUUUACCCCCACAGCCCGACUCGUAAUUGAAUCUCUGAAUAUGUUUCUCAGUUGAAUGAAUUAACUUCUGUGGGUCCUGCACUGAAUUGAACUUUUGCAGCAUCUGUGCCACUUUAAGAUAACACAGUGUCUUGGGGCACCUGGGUGGCUUAGCCGGUUGACUGUCUGACUUCAGCUGAGGUCAUGAUCUCGCAGUCCGUGAG